GGGGCGUUCUCCGGUGUCGCUGUGGCCUUCUUGGGCGGGUCCCAGGACGGGGCAACCCUGGCCCCCGGCUGAAAGUCAAGGUGCCUGGUCCAGGGGCAGCCACAGCCCAGCGCCCCGCUCCCUUCGCCUCUCCUUCAUCUCCAGUUCGAAGCGCUGGCAGUUCAGAGAGACUGUGGUGUGGACGCUUGUGUGUCCAGAACCUGUGCUGGCCGCCUGGAGGUGCACCCACUCCUCAAGCAGCCAGUAGACUUGUACAGAUCCCCUUCUGUGUGCAAGACUCAUGCUAGAAGCUGCAGGGGAUCUAAAGAAGCACUGCCUGCUUUGCAUCGAACCCGAGACACCAGACCGACUGCGUGGGGGACCAUUGCUUUCUUUCCUGUCAAGAAAGAAGUGCCCUGACAGUUAAGCUGUGACUCGUAUCGAUGGUAAGAUGUAUCCUGAUUUCAGAGUUGAUGAAUUACUGUGCGAGGCACUGUGUCUCUUAAAGGGCUAUAAUCUUCCCAGGGAAAGAAUACGCUGGCACACACUCAUAGCAGGGGGUCAUGCCUGGUUGACUCUCAGAGGAGUUGCAAGGAUUUAGGUGCUCGAAUUUCUGAGGCUAGAAGUGGCUGUCAUUGGUUGGAUCUUGAAGUCCAAGUUGGACCAAUACCACCUGGAUGGUGUCGAGAAGGGCCACUGAGAAGAGAGGAAAGAGGCAGACACAGGUGGAGCAGGUGUGUAAAGGUCGGAAGCUGUCCAGGCUGCAGAAAGAGGACGAAGUAGGAAAGGCAACCCCUCUUCAGGUUGGGGUCAUCGCUGAGGAGUUCGGUGUUUAUUUUUUAAGCACUGGGGAGCCACAGAAAGUUUUAGAGCAAGGGAGGAACACACCAGGCCGUCCUGGGGGAUAUUAUUUUGAGGGUGACAGGCAGGAUCUAGGGAAGCAAUAGGCUGCAGGCAGAGGACCUGUUUCAGAGAUGCCAUAAGACGUCCAGGUGUGAAGCAAAGAGAAGAGACCGGCCAUGUGGAAUGAAGAGGAAGGGGCAGAAGGAAACUCUGGAACUCAGGAAAAUAAUUGAGCAAGACUUGUUCAGGAGCAGGGGUGCCACGAGACUGUAUUCUAGGAGUUCCUCCUGGGGCACAACAGGAUUGGCAGUGUCUCUGGAGCCCUGGGACGCAGGCUCGAUUCCCAGCCCCGCACGGUGGGUUAAGGAUCCUGCAUUGCCAUAGCUGUGGCUUAGGUUGCAACCGCGGCUUGGAUCUGAUCCCUGGCCCAGGAACUCCAUAUGCCAUGGGGCAGCCAGAAAAGAAAAGACUAUAUCCUAAAAUGUGGGCGUGGACAGCCGAAGAUGCAUUGCCAGAGUAAGGACCUCCUGGGCCCCCUUUUCCGCCCCUGGCCCUCGGGAUCAGUACAAAAGAAAGCCCGGCACAGACUCGGGUCGAGGCACCAAGGUCACUCCAGGCUGAAACCGCUUCAUGGUUGCCAUAGUUUUGUCUUCCAUAAAGUGGUUCUUGUGAUACUGACGCCUUUGGUGACACCGAACCCGAGACUAAAAAUAUGCCCUGUUGUUCUAAGUCCCCGAGGCGUUUCACAAACAGCCUCCUUUGUUUUUUCGGCCCCCUCCCUGCCCCUGUAUGUAAAGCAAGGACAAGCUUUACUGCAGGUGCGUUGGAAAACCAAAUGACCUUUAUAGAAAUCAUGAAAUCGGAAGCAAACCUGGGAAUAAAUCCAAGGUUUCCUGAUUCAACAUUGUAUCUAAGUGUGUAUGUUUGCUGCAGACCUUGCUGCCCUCAAUAAAAUAGAACCGGGUGCUGUGUA
ensembl:lncRNA